AGGGAUGUAGCUACAGCACCUGCCUGGCAAGCAUGAGGUCCUGAGUUCAAUUCCCAGCACUCCCC
rnacentral:tRNA from 1 species